GACGAACGCUGGCGGCGUGCUUAACACAUGCAAGUCGAGCGGUAAGGCCCUUUCGGGGGUACGACGAGCGGCGAACGGGUGAGUAACACGUGGGUGACCUGCCCUCAGCUCUGGGAUAAGCCUGGGAAACUGGGUCUAAUACUGGAUAUGACUCCACGGUGCAUGUCGUGGGGUGGAAAGCCUUGUGCGGCUGAGGAUGGGCCCGCGGCCUAUCAGCUUGUUGGUGGGGGAUGGCCUACCAAGGCGACGACGGGUAGCCGGCCUGAGAGGGCGACCGGCCACACUGGGACUGAGACACGGCCCAGACUCCUACGGGAGGCAGCAGUGGGGAAUCUUGCGCAAUGGGCGAAAGCCUGACGCAGCGACGCCGCGUGAGGGAUGACGGCCUGGUGUAAC
rnacentral:rRNA from 1 species